UUCUGCAGCGCUUUACAGACAUUAUCAUCACACUGUCCCCAAUGGUUCUCACAAUCUAAGUUCCCUCUCAGGAUGUCUUUGGAGUGUGGGAGGAAACAGGAGAACACGGAGGAAACCCUCACAAACUCGGGGAGAACAUACAAACUCCAUGCAGAUGCCUCCAAUGCUCUAAGAU